rnacentral:rRNA from 1 species
AUUGAACGCUGGCGGCAGGCCUAACACAUGCAAGUCGAACGAGUGGCGGACGGGUGAGUAAUGUCUGGGAAACUGCCUGAUGGAGGGGGAUAACUACUGGAAACGGUAGCUAAUACCGCAUACCAUCAGAUGUGCCCAGAUGGGAUUCGCUAGUGGGGGGGGUAACGGCUCACCUAGGCGACGAUCCCUAGCUGGUCUGAGCGGAUGACCAGCCAAACUGGAACUGAGACACGGGCCAGACUCCGACGGGAGUAAGCAGUGGGGAAUAUGGCCCAAUGGGCGCAAGCCUGAUGCAGCCAUGCCGGGUGUGUGAGGAAGGCCUUCGGGUUGUAAAGUACUUUCAGCGGGGAGGCGUUACCCGCAGAAGAAGCACCGGCUAACUCCGGGCCAGCAGCCGCGGUAAUUC